rnacentral:tRNA from 1 species
GUUGUUGUGGUGUAGUGGUUAUCACGUCAGUCUUACACACUGAAGGUCUCCAGUUCGAUCCUGGGCAGCAACA